UGCGUAGGCGGCCUGACAAGUCAGAGGUGAAAGGCUACGGCUUAACCGUAGUAAGCCUUUGAAACUGCCAGGCUUGAGUGCAGGAGAGGAAAGUGGAAUUCCUAGUGUAGCGGUGAAAUGCGUAGAUAUUAGGAGGAACACCAGUGGCGAAGGCGACUUUCUGGACUGUAACUGACGCUGAGGCACGAAAGCGUGGGGAGCGAACAGGAUUAGAUACCCUGGUAGUCC
rnacentral:rRNA from 1 species